AGUUGAUCCUGGCUCAGGAUGAACGCUAGCGACAGGCCUAACACAUGCAAGUCGAGGGGCAGCGCGGAGUAGCAAUACUUGGCGGCGACCGGCGCACGGGUGAGUAACACGUAUGCAACCAACCCAUAACAGGGGGAUAACCCGGAGAAAUCCGGACUAAUACCGCAUAAGACCACGAUAUCGCAUGAUAUAGAGGUCAAAUAUUUAUAGGUUAUGGACGGCAUGCGUCUGAUAGCUGGUUGGCGGGGUAACGGCCCACCAAGGCAUCGAUCAGUAGGGGUUCUGAGAGGAAGGUCCCCCACAUUGGAACUGAGACACGGUCCAAACUCCUACGGGAGGCAGCAGUGAGGAAUAUUGGUCAAUGGGCGAAAGCCUGAACCAGCCAUGUCGCGUGAAGGAUAGAAGGUCCUAUGGAUUGUAAACUUCUUUUGCAGGAGGGUAAAGUGAGCUACGUGUAGUUCAUUGCAAGUACCCUGCGAAUAAGCAUCGGCUAACUCCGUGCCAGCAGCAGC
rnacentral:rRNA from 1 species